rnacentral:rRNA from 1 species
UACGGAGGAUGCGAGCGUUAUCCGGAUUUAUUGGGUUUAAAGGGUGCGUAGGCGGACGCUUAAGUCAGCGGUAAAAUUACGGGGCUCAACCUCGUCGAGCCGUUGAAACUGGGUGCCUUGAGUGGGCGAGAAGUACGCGGAAUGCGUGGUGUAGCGGUGAAAUGCAUAGAUAUCACGCAGAACUCCGAUUGCGAAGGCAGCGUACCGGCGCCCAACUGACGCUGAGGCACGAAGGCGUGGGUAUCGAACAGG